rnacentral:lncRNA from 10 species
AAAAUUAGUUCAUUCAUGUGGGCAAAAGUUUCAUAGAUCUAGUGGUUAGUUACUUUGUCUGUGUGCUCUUUGAUGUCUUGCUAUUUGCCAAACAAGAUAACCUAUUUUCAAAACUGAAAAGGCAGGCUGGGCGCAGAUCAUUUGAGAUCAGGAGUUUGAGACCAGCCUGGCCAACAUGGUGAAACCCCUCAUCUCUACUAAAAAUACAAAAACUUAGCCUGGCGUGGUGGCAGCUGUCUGUAAUCCCAGCUACUAAGGAGGCUGAGGCAGGAGAAUUGCUUGAACCUGGGAGGCAGAAGUUAUAGUGAGCUGAGAUCAUGCCACUGCUUUCUAGCCUGGAUGACAGAGCGAGACUCUGUCAACAACAACAAUAAAAAAAAAACAAAAACACACACACACACACCAAAAACUGCAAAGGCAGAGAGGUGGAUAUGAGCCAUGACUCAACCAAUAACAUGGCAGGGAAGCAGACAAUUACCUACAAAAGGAGGCCUGUCUACCUAAACGGAAGAGGUCUGGACCUACCAUAGAGGAAGAAAAAGAAAAUUGUGGGCAUCAACAAAGUGUAUGUGUCUUUUGGCAGAAUAACAGGUCAAUAAUGGCUUUAUGCUUUGUAGGAUGGUAUUUAAUGCUCUAGAAAGCAAAGAGAAUACUCCAAGGUUAUGAAGCCGAAAUUGGUAGCUAAUGUCAGCGUUGAACCUUGAGGCAAAUUUCAUGGGUGAUACUUAAAUGUCAGCCCUGUAGUUUCCAAGAACAAGGUCUCCAAGCCAGUCAUUAGACAUGCAUCAAAGUUCUGCUGAGGUGGGGCCUCAUCCCGGGCUGCACUUUGGGUAAAGCAGGUUGCCCCAAGUGUGUCAGUGGUUGCUGCACCGUGGGCAGACAGAAAUAGAAUGUCUGACAUUCACUUCAGCCAUGCUCAUUGGUUUCUAUGCAGGUGUUGCCUGCCAAGAAGUAGCAGUAGAACAGCCGCAUUGCUUUCAUAAAGAAUGACAAAAUUUCUAUGUCUGCAAAAUAAAUGAGUUAUUUGAAACUAAGAACAAGGUCAGCAAAAUACAAGUGACACCUCAAGCAAAGAAUGAAGUGGGCAUUGAAAUACCAUACCAGAGGCUGGGCGCAGUGGCUCACGCCUGUAAUCCCAGCACUCUGGGAGGCCAAGGCGGGUGGAUCACCUGAGGUCAGGAGUUUGAGACCAGCCUGGCCAACAUGGUGAAACCCCAUCUCUAUGAGGGGGAAAAAAAAUAUAUACGAGGCCAGGCGUGAGCCACCGCACCCGGCCGAGUUUGCAUUUUUUAACUACCAGCUCCUUAGAGGGCCAAGGGAUUCUCAGAAAAAGGUAUGUCCAUCGACAUUCUGACCAGGUCCCCAGGAGUUCGCUAACUCACAGUUCAGUGAAAAUGACCAAAGGAUGCAUUGAAAAUCAUGGAAUCUACACCCUGAAUUUUAGCUAUACGGAGUGUAAUAUGCAAUUAUAAAAUGUAUUGGUGGGUUCUAUUUUGGCCUCUAGCUCCCACAUCACUAAGGAACUUGCUGUAACCCUUAACCCAGGUGGCUAAGGGCACAGUGUGGAUCCCAGCUGCUCUGCUGUCCCUUGAACUGUUUUUUCUCCAGGGCAUCUUCUUGUGUUUCAAGUUUCAAUCAUGUUGUGAAUUUUAAAAAAUUACCAGGCUAGGCAUGGUGGCUCAGGCCUGUAAUCCCAGCACUGUGGGUGGCUGAGGUGGAAGAAUCACUUCAGCCCACGAGUUCAAGACCAGCCUGGGCAACAUAGUGAGACCCCAUCUCU